rnacentral:rRNA from 1 species
UACCAGCACCCCGAGUGGUCGGGACGUUUAUUGGGCCUAAAGCAUCCGUAGCCGGUUCUACAAGUCUUCCGUUAAAUCCAACUGCUUAACAGGUGGGCUGCGGAAGAUACUAUAGAGCUAGGAGGCGGGAGAGGCAAGCGGUACUCGAUGGGUAGGGGUAAAAUCCGUUGAUCCAUUGAAGACCACCAGUGGCGAAGGCGGCUUACUGGUCCGGUUCUGACGCUGAGGCGCGAAAGCGUGGGGAGCAAACAGG